ACGACUGCAUGGAAGUUGAGGGAUCUGGUUUAAUCUCAGCAGGUAGUGAUGAGUGUCGUCUGAAAAUCUCAUGAUGUCUGCUGGGAUGAGACUAAUCUCUACUCUCAACGCGCUUCACCUG
rnacentral:precursor_RNA from 10 species